GACAGAGGGUGCAAACGUUGCUCGGAAUCACUGGGCGUAAAGGGCGUGUAGGCGGGAAUGUAAGUCGGGCGUGAAAGCCCCAGGCUCAACCUGGGAACUGCACUCGAAACUGCGUUUCUUGAGUAUCGGAGAGGAAAGCGGAAUGCCUGGUGUAGAGGUGAAAUUCGUAGAUAUCAGGUGGAACACCAGUGGCGAAGGCGGCUUUCUGGACGAUUACUGACGCUGAGACGCGAAAGCGUGGGGAGCAAACAGG
rnacentral:rRNA from 1 species